rnacentral:lncRNA from 1 species
AGUUCUGGGAGAAGCUCACCAGUUUAGGUUGUUGGUUCAUCAUUAUCAAAUUCCCCAUGAGAACAUGCUAACCUUGUUUAAGAAUUAUUUCAGCAUUAAGUUCCACAAGGCAUAAUUUUCCACAGGCAGUCUACCUAGAAAUGGAUGUGAAUCAGUGCCAUGGAGCAACUUCCACCAACUAAAUACUAGCACCCAUAUAUCUGUGAUUAUUUUUCCAAAAGAAAAUGAGAGUCAAACAGUAUCAAAGAGCAGAUGCUAUGGAAUUACAAUAGAAAAUUAACUAGCAAUUAGAAAAUACCAAUGAAAGCAGUGAGAAAACUAAUUUUCAGUGAGAAAAGAAUAUAUAAACAUAAUAUAUUUUCCCCAAAAAAGCUGGCUGUGAGAUUCUAAAUCAAAGUAAUGGGAGGAUAUUUGUCAACAGUUACAAAGAGGAAUGAUCUUGAAAUCUGUGAUGAACAGCUGCUUAUUAUUAUGACAUUAAAACAACCAGAAAACUUUAGUUCCUGAGAAGUCACAGUAAUAGUCAAGGUCACAAAUUUGUAAACACUUCUAUU